GCCUGGCGGUCCCCCAGCACCAGGCUGGCCCAGAGGACCGGGAGGUCCACGCUCUCCCUUAAUCAGAUCGGGAGGCCGAGGAACACCAGGGUCACCAGGAGGGCCUGGAUCAGAAAGGAUUUAAAAAGAUUCUUCAUCAGGAGAUGAUUACAUCUUCAUCCGAACGAACAGUACCUGGGAAUCCGGGAACCCCAGGCAGUCCGAUGUCUCCUUUAGCACCAGGAACACCAGGAGUGCCCGGAGGACCCUGUUGCGAGAGUUCCAAAACGGGUCUCCUUUCUGACCAGGGAAGCCUGGCUGACCAGCAGCGCCGGGAAUGCCUUUCUCGCCCCUGACGCCACCACUUCCUGGGGCCCCACGAGGACCUUGUGGGCCAGGCACACCUUCAUACACAAAACAUCAGCAGUCAGGUAUCAUGGGAUGGCGAUAAUGCAAACCACAGCCAAUCACACGGUGGGGUUCAAGCGCUAACAGUGACCGUGAGGAGGAACGUGCAGCGAAAGGCCGGACGCCGUCGAUCUGACCUGCUGGACCUGCGGCGGGCGGCGCCGAGCGUCAUCACGGAGAGGGUCGAGGCCAUGGGAAACGCAGGUAAAAUAUCACAGCAAAAAAAAAAAAAGAGAAGGGCUUUCUAAAGGUUGGCAAUGUAUGGUCAGUCAGUUUAGACAAAUGUUUCAGGGCCACCCUGCAGACAACAUCCAUGCACCGUUUGAUGAUGGUCUGGUGAAAUUAAACACGGUCAGGGCAGCAAAGCCAGAUUCAACCGCAAAAGCCAGCUCCACUCUUCCUUGCAAAGAAGAUCAAUGUGUCUAUCCACUUUGGGCACUCGCGUGCAUGUAUUUAAACCGGUAUGAUGCCCUAGAUCUGGUCUCAAUGGAGUCUUGGAGCGCUUGGUGGGUGGUGUCUGACUCUGCUGAAUCCAACACAAAACAGAGGAGGACACGCAGAAAGUAAAACAAAGGUAAGUGGCUCUGGAAAGACGGUCCGAUCACAACCUCUCCUCAUUUGAAGGUCACAAAGUGCAAUAGUGGAGAGUACAACUGGGCUCUCACGAUGGGAACCCGUGUUCCUUUUGGUCGUGAUUGAACAUCCGCACAUUUCAUCGUGGGAGCGAGACAGACUGGACAGAUGUGACGACGAUGGUGAAUUGUGAAACUGUGUUCCAUGCAAACCAGUCCAAAAAAAAAGCAACAUUGGUGAUUUACAUCAGCUUGCUGCCUGGUUUGCUCGGAAUCACACAAAUAAUUCAAGUAUCAAUUCAACAAACAAAUGAAUGAAUAUUAAAAACCACCUGAAAACCAUUUUUCAC